UCCAGCUGUAGGCACCUGCCUAGGUUGCCUUGUACCUAGGCAAGUGUUACACUCCUGGGGGAAAAGCAGCCAAUAGCUGGCACGCAUUCUGGGACUGGUUAAUGCCACAUU
ensembl:snoRNA SNORA74 Small nucleolar RNA SNORA74